ensembl:piRNA 21ur-5007 ncRNA
UUAGUUAGCUUUGCUCUUGCU